UGGCUGUGUGACAUUCAGAAACGUUCUGAGAGAGCCUCAGUUUCCUUCUUGGUAAAAUGAGAAGGUUUCUAGCAUUUCUGUAUAGCUGACCAGGGCCUUGGACUUCACCAGCUGACAAGGACCUUAGAGUUCAUCACCCCUUUUGAAUAAAAAGACUGAAAAACGUGGAAGUGACUUGCCUAAGGUCACACUGAUAGUAACUGGCAGAGUUGGAAUUCACACUCAGCUCUUCUGAUUCCAAAUUCGGUGUUCUUUCCAUUAUGAGAGUAUUCUGUUUGUGUAGAUGAGCUUGAAACUUCUCUUCUAGCUCUAAGAUUUUAUCUGGGAUGCUCUUUUCCAGGGUGGAGGAAGGGGGCGCUGUCUAAAACAACAACAACAACAAAAUGAAUACAUUUUGGCAAAGGGCCAGGUUAUGGCUUGGGGAGGAGGGAAGGAAAUGGAAGCGGAAGCAAAGGACUCUACCUCCUCCAAAGACAGAGCCCCUGGACCUUUGAAAAGGGACCCCUGGACUGCAGAAAUCUCCUUCCUGACUUCACCUGGCAGCAGUCCUGGGGCUCAGGGCCUCACCUCCCCGGGACUUGCUCCCUUUCCAAAGAGCUCAUUCUGAGGAGUUCUUCCUCAGAACUGAAGAACAAGGAAAAGAACAACUUUGUCUUGCUUCAGCAUUCUUCCUCAAGUCCAAGAUGGAAUAAACCUAGAAAUGUGGGCUUACUAUCCAAUAAUAAUGAUUGGCACAUACAUAACACUCUGACCCAGUGCAGAAGUGCUGAUCAUCAGAAAAAAUAGCCACAGAUCAAGUAAUGGGAGCAAGAAGAAAAGCUGGGGGUCUGGGUAAUCCACAAAUUGGAUAACUACCCACUGAAGAAUAAAAAAGCUUAGGUAUUGACUACA
rnacentral:lncRNA from 1 species